UACGUAGGGACCAAGCGUUGUUCGGAUUUACUGGGCGUAAAGGGCGCGUAGGCGGCGUGUUAAGUCAGUUGUGAAAUCUCCAAGCUUAACUUGGAACGGUCAACUGAUACUGAUGUGCUAGAGUGCAGAAGGGGCAACCGGAAUUCUUGGUGUAGCGGUGAAAUGCGUAGAUAUCAAGAGGAACACCUGAGGUGAAGACGGGUUGCUGGGCUGACACUGACGCUGAGGCGCGAAAGCUAGGGUAGCAAACGGG
rnacentral:rRNA from 1 species